AGGCCCAGCCUCAUGUGGGAGGUGAGGAGAAAGGACCCUUCCAGAGGGCCCCCCCUCAAUCCUGUUGUGCCUAAUUCAGAGGGUUGGGUGGAGGCUCUCCUGAAGGGCUCUGAAGAGCGCUGCACCCGCAGCUGUGUGCCAGGAGUGGAGACAGGACAGUCGAUACAAGAGGGGCCCCUGUCAUGUCAGCUGCUGAGUCCCCUGGGGCGGCCGGGCACUGGGGAAUGGUGAACUCGCCGUGCCGCGCCUCUGCCACAGUCUCCCGUGGGUCCCCACUGCCGGGAGUUUUACCUACCUCCCACCCUCAGCCACGAGCACCUGCAGGAUGCGGUGCCAUCCUCGCCGGUGCCCGCUCCCCUUCCGGAGGCUCUCUCCACCCUCACUGACGCCUCCUCGGGAAAGCCCCCGCUCCUUCCCCGACCUCACAGCAUGCCAGGUCUGGGGCUUCCGCUGGGGGGCUUACCUGUUUUCCACCCCUGCUAGACUGGGAGCUCCAGGGCAAGGCCGUAGCUGCCUUGCGGAUUGUUACGUUGUCCAGCUUGUCUCCACACGUGAUACCCAGCAGGUGCCUAAUAAACUUGUGUAGAAAGAGUG
rnacentral:lncRNA from 10 species